rnacentral:rRNA from 1 species
AAUAUUGGACAAUGGGCGGAAGCCUGAUCCAGCCAUGCCGCGUGAGUGAAGAAGGCCUUCGGGUUGUAAAGCUCUUUUGUUGGGAAAGAAAAGCAGCCGGUUAAUACCCGGUUGUUCUGACGGUACCCAAAGAAUAAGCACCGGCUAACUUCGUGCCAGCAGCCGCGGUAAUACGAAGGGUGCAAGCGUUACUCGGAAUUACUGGGCGUAAAGCGUGCGUAGGUGGUUCGUUAAGUCUGAUGUGAAAGCCCUGGGCUCAACCUGGGAAUUGCAUUGGAUACUGGCGGGCUAGAGUACGGUAGAGGGUGGCGGAAUUCCUGGUGUAGCAGUGAAAUGCGUAGAUAUCAGGAGGAACAUCCGUGGCGAAGGCGGCCACCUGGACCAGUACUGACACUGAGGCACGAAAGCGUGGGGAGCAAACAGG